rnacentral:rRNA from 1 species
UGGGGAAUAUUGCACAAUGGGCGCAAGCCUGAUGCAGCAACGCCGCGUGAGGGGUGACGGCCUUCGGGUUGUAAACCUCUUUUAGUAGGGAAGAAGCGAAAGUGACGGUACCUGCAGAAAAAGCACCGGCUAACUACGUGCCAGCAGCCGCGGUAAUACGUAGGGUGCGAGCGUUGUCCGGAAUUAUUGGGCGUAAAGGGCUCGUAGGCGGUCUGUCGCGUCUGCUGUGAAAACCCGAGGCUCAACCUCGGGCCUGCAGUGGGUACGGGCAGACUAGAGUGCGGUAGGGGAGAAUGGAAUUCCUGGUGUAGCGGUGGAAUGCGCAGAUAUCAGGAGGAACACCGAUGGCGAAGGCAGUUCUCUGGGCCGUAACUGACGCUGAGGAGCGAAAGCGUGGGGAGCGAACAGGAUUAGAUACCCUGGUAGUCCACGCCGUAAACGUUGGGCGCUAGAUGUGGGGACCAUUCCACGGUUUCCGUGUCGCAGCUAACGCAUUAAGCGCCCCGCCUGGGGAGUACGGCCGCAAGGCUAAAACUCAAAGGAAUUGACGGGGUCAUAGCUG